UACGUAGGGUGCAAGCGUUAAUCGGAAUUACUGGGCGUAAAGCGUGCGCAGGCGGUGAUGUAAGACAGUUGUGAAAUCCCCAGGCUUAACCUGGGAACUGCAUCCGAUACUGGAUGGCUUGAAUCCGGGAGAGGGAUGCGGAAUUCCAGGUGUAGCGGUGAAAUGCGUAGAUAUCUGGAGGAACACCGGUGGCGAAGGCGGCAUCCUGGACCGGCAUUGACGCUGAGGAGCGAAAGCCAGGGGAGCAAACGGG
rnacentral:rRNA from 1 species